rnacentral:tRNA from 1 species
GGACGAUUAGCUCAGUUGGUUAGAGCAUCUCGUUUACACCGAGAGGGCCGCUGGUUCGAGUCCAGCAUCGUCCA